AAAAAGAGCGGCGCAAAAACAAAAUGAUGAGGAAGGAAUUAGACUUAUUGAAGAAGUAUGUGAAUUUCAAUGCAUCAUGUUCAAAUGAGUUAUCAUCUCAAGAAGACAAUCAAGGAUCUGAGGAUGAAAGUGACAAUUACUUUGAUAAUGUGAAUGAAAUUGGUUCUGACCCUGAUAACGUGAAUGAAAGUGAUUAUAAUUAGGAUUGAGAUGUUCAUUAGACUAUUAAGUUUUAUAUUUGAGAUAUUUUGCUUUUUGAUGAAGGAUUAUAUGUUAUUAAUAUUAAUGUUAUGAAUUAUAUUUUGUCUUUGUUAUAAUUAUAUUAGAAGUCUGUGGAAUGUUGUUAUUAGUAUUAAUGUUAUGAAUUAUGCUUUUUCUUUGUUAUAAUUAUAUUAGAAGUGUGUGGAAGAAUGAUUACUUGCGAAUUUUUAUGGGAAAAUAUUUUGAAACGCUUCAAUUUUAUAUGAAAAUUUACCCGCAAAAAAAAUUUACACAGGAAUUUUCUUACCAAUAUUACAUACGGAUUUUCCUACAAUAUAUCACUUAUGAAUUUUCUUGGGAAUGUUACAUGCCGAAUAUUUCAUGGGAAUAUGCUCCUGCGGAUUUUACUUGGGAUUUUUAAAGGAAUUGUCCUGCGGAAUAUUCUCAUAAAUAUUCACAAGAAAAUCCCUUUCGUCCAAAUAUUUCACCUCAAAAUUUCAUACGGAUAUACUUGAGGAUCUUCAUGGGGAAUUACCUGCGGAUUUCUUCCUACAUAAUUUCCCAAGAAAAUUCCUUUUGUUUACGAAUUUUUACCAAAAUACUCUUGCAAUUUGUUUGAUGUGCUUCGCUGAUAAAUUCGCAAGUAAAUUACAAAAUUUUUACCAAAAUACUCUUGCGAUUUUUUUGAUGUGCUUCGCUGAUAAAUCCGCAAGUAAAUUAUAUGGGGACACAAAAUCCUCAGGUAAUUUACCUGGGGAUAUUUUAAUUUGCAGGUAAUAAUUACUUACGAAGGUUUUUUCAACGUAUUUAUUUCGGUAGGAAAUUUCGCAGCAAAUCAAAUUACCUGCGAAUAUUUGUAUAUUAUCCCUAGGAAAAUCCCCAUGUAAUCAGCAAUUUUCUAGUAGUGGUGUAACGACAUGAUAUGAAUGUCAUAUUCUCUGUAAUAAUCGUCGUACUUAAUGCUACAGAAUAGUCUCCAUUAAAUGCUAUUGGGUGACAACAAUUUACUUUGUCUUUAUGAGCAACCUUCCGUUUGGAAACAAACAGGAUUGCUGCCCUUGGGCUUGAUUGCCAUUUGCCUAGCUUUUCAUCUACCUCCGGCUUCAUGUGUCGCUUUAUUAUACAAGUAUUUAAUAUGAACAUAUUUUACCCUAUACAGAGACAUGAUUACGAAACAAAAGCUCUGCUAAGAAGAAGUCCCGGAAUAUAUAACUGCUAUUUUGUUCAUAUAAAUGACAUAAACUGAACCUUUUCAUUUAAAUGAUCAUAAAAGGGCGAUAUCUACAAUCUUGACAAUAUCUUUGGGCAGUGGGAUAUUCACCUAUUGCCUCUCCGAAAAACAACAUACAUUAUCUAAGAAAUCAAUUAUAUACUUAAAUAUAACUUGAGAAUAAAAAUGAAAUUCACACUUUAUAAUUUAUUCUUAAGUAUUUCACAUAAUUUCUCAUAACUUAGAGCCAUUUUAUAUUUUUAUUUUUCUGAAUUAUUUUUAGUUGGAUCCCCUCACU
rnacentral:lncRNA from 1 species